UACGAAGGGGGCUAGCGUUGUUCGGAAUCACUGGGCGUAGAGCGCACGUAGGCGGAUCUUUAAGUCAGGGGUGAAAUCCCGAGGCUCAACCUCGGAACUGCCUUUGAUACUGGGGAUCUCGAGUCCGGGAGAGGUGAGUGGAACUGCGAGUGUAGAGGUGAAAUUCGUAGAUAUUCGCAAGAACACCAGUGGCGAAGGCGGCUCACUGGCCCGGAACUGACGCUGAGGUGCGAAAGCGUGGGUAGCAACAGG
rnacentral:rRNA from 1 species